rfam:Triticum aestivum genome assembly, contig: Triticum_aestivum_CS42_TGACv1_scaffold_423961_5BS
CUCCUACUCCCUCCGUUCCACAAUACAUGCCUUCUAUUUGUCAAAAUAUAGAUGUAUCUAGACAUGUUUUAGUAUAUAGGUACAUCCAUGUUUGGACAAAUGAAAGUCAAGUAUUUUGGAAUGGAGGGAGUAAAAU